rnacentral:lncRNA from 1 species
CGCUGCUCCUUCUUUCCCGUCUUGUUUCUGAGGCCUCGGACCUGCGAGGAAGCACAUUUACAUUUGACGUCGGUUUUACAACCAGAGGAACAAAUAAUCAUUUCAUUUCCAACCUUGCGUUUUCUUUUUCUCACAAUAGGCUUCCUCUUUGCGUGUUUGGAAGAGGACAAAAUAUUGGGAGUCUUGAAAUCCCAGGCUUCCGGGGAAUGGGAGAAGCCCUGCCGUCUGGUCCUGCAAUCCGGGGAUUUCCUUGGAAGCCAAGUGGACCUGAGAGUUCGAUUUACUCUCUCACGUUGCAGCCUGAUUUUUCCCCGCAGUAUGCACGCACACGCAUGCACACGCACAUACACACAUGUGCACACGCAUGCACACGCAGGCGCACACACACGGCUUUCUUCCCCUCCCACUCAGAAGGGUUCCUGCCGUCUGUACCGCGCCCGGCCCCUCGCAGCUCGUGGUUGGCGACACACAGGCCAGCGGUCAGAUGCAACUCAGAUGCAGCGUCCUGCCUCCUUCCUGCCCCUCGUUGCUCUGGUCAGGACUGCCCGGCGUGGGGGAAACUCAGGAGCGGAGAAACCGAGUCACAGAGAGAGGAUGGGAAAUUGUCUCCCGAGAGAACUCAGGGAAGCCAUCCAGUCCUGCUCUGGGGCAAAGUAACCAAAGUAAAAGCCUGGAUGUUCCCCAGAGGAUAAAGUUCUCGUGUGCCUCUGUCUUCAGAAAGAAAGAGAGAUCUUAAACCAAAUAAAGAAAAGGAAAAUGGGCC